rnacentral:rRNA from 1 species
UACAGAGGGGGCAAGCGUUAUUCGGAAUUAUUGGGCGUAAAGGGCGCGUAGGCGGCGAUUCAAGUGACGGGUGAAAUCCCUCGGCUUAACCGAGGAACUGCCUGUCAGACUGGAUUGCUUGAGGCCGGGAGAGGCGAGUGGAAUUCCCAGUGUAGCGGUGAAAUGCGUAGAGAUCGGGAAGAACAUCGGUGGCGAAGGCGGCCCGCUGGGCUGUAGCUGACGCUGAGGCGCGAAAGCGUGGGGAGCAAACAGG